rnacentral:piRNA from 1 species
UAGAAGUGAUUAAGUUUAGUGAGGAAG